UGCCAGCCGCCGCGGUAAUACGGAGGGUGCGAACGUUGCUCGGAAUUAUUGGGCGUAAAGCACAUGUAGGCGGCGCAGCAAGUUGGAUGUGAAAGCCCAGGGCUCAACCUUGGAAGUGCAUCCAAAACUGCUGUGCUUGAGUCCCGGAGGGGCCCAGAGAAUUCCCGGUGUAGAGGUGAAAUUCGUAGAUAUCGGGAGGAAUACCAGUGGCGAAGGCGGCACACUGGGUCUUAACUGACGCUGAGGCACGAAAGCUAGGGUAGCGAACGGGAUUAGAUA
rnacentral:rRNA from 1 species